rnacentral:rRNA from 1 species
AUACGGAGGAUCCGAGCGUUAUCCGGAUUUAUUGGGUUUAAAGGGUGCGCAGGCGGGAGAUUAAGUCGGCGGUGAAAUUUUGCAGCUCAACUGUAAAAGUGCCUUCGAAACUGGGUUCCUUGAGUGUAGAUGAAGUAGGCGGAAUUUGUGGUGUAGCGGUGAAAUGCAUAGAUAUCACGAGGAAAUCCGAUUGCGCAGGCAGCUUACUAAACUACUACUGACGCUCAGGCACGAAGGCGUGGGGAUCAAACAGGAUUAGAUACCCUGGUAGUCCACGCAGUAAACGAUGAUUACUAGCUGUUUGCGAUACAAUGUAAGCGGCUGAGCGAAAGCGUUAAGUAAUCCACCUGGGGAGUACGUUCGCAAGAAUGAAACUCAAAGGAAUUGACGGGG